UAAAAUAAAAUAAGUGUGAGAGGCCUGCAGGUUAUCAACAAGUAAUAGAAUUCAGAAGUAGACUUGUUUUCUUUUAUCCAUUUUAAGGUACAAUGGCUUGAAGAGUAGAUAAUUAUUGGAGGUUUGCCCAGGAGUGAAGGAAAGUAUAUAAGAGCCAAGAAUCUCCUGCAAGAGCCACAACAACAGGAUUCGUCAGCGUUUUGGAAAUUUCCCAGAGGGGCUAUCAGUGUCGAUUGCCAACUCUGACUUGACUCAGCUUAAUGACUCGUAAAGGAAGGAGGGAGAGAAGCCAGAGAGGCUUAAAGAGGUUGGCAGAAGAAAUGUUAAUGGGGCG